UCCCAGCCCUUUGUGGUGAAGAAUGAUCGCAUCAAAAUCCGCCACGUCUACCUCUCAUGGCACAUCAUGCAGUGCGAACAAAAGGGAUGCCAAGCAAGCUUGCCGGAAGCUAACUGUGAUAGUGCCCGUGCUUCUAUUCUUUCAGGAAUGUUCUAAUGACGUGGCAGUUCUGGAAUCAUUCAGGGCUUUCAGUCCCUGGUGGAACACUAUAACUAUACAAGGCAUCUUAUAGAUGUUAGAAGACAAAACAGGAGGGAAGGAAGGUCAACAAGAAAUUUCAACUGCGACCAAGAAGAACAAAGAAAAACAAUAUGGCUUAAAAUUUUUGUUCACCUGUAAAAGGGCCCUUAUUUUGUACAAGCAAAAAACAAUUAAGAAUGCUGCACAAACAUACUUAUUCAAAUCAACCUUACCAUGGGUACCAACAGUCACCCACCUCCUAGCAGAGUCAGAUGUUUCCAACAGUUUUUAGGCAUCUUCAUUACAAUAAAAAUGCUGACUAGA